CUAUUAUUUCAUAUCAAGGAAAGGCGUAACCAACGGAAGGGAAGGUUCUCACCCUAUCCUUGACAUUGUUCUCCGAAGAUUUCCCCUGGGCGAAAGGGGCCACCAUUCUCUUUCUUUCUUCAAUUGUUCCGAUCAGCACAAAUGGGUUGCUUCGUCUCCUCCUCCUAUCUACGCAAUUCUCUGUCUUCGUUUGUGAUCAUGUUAGGCGAAAGGUAGUUGUAGAGGAGCAGCUGUAAAACGACGUUUCGCCCCUUGGAAAUUCAAGUGAAAGAGGAAGCCGUAUAGUGCAGGAGGCAGAUUUUUGUAAAAAAGGGGUUGAUUAUUCGGAUUGGUUCUCGCGUCCCUGUGCCCAAAAGGAUGGGCGAGUUUGGUUCAAGUGUUCAUCGAUCGGGUGAAUUAUGUCACCUUGAUGUGGUAUUCUCAAGGGGUGUUCACCACUUUGGUCUCCUCCAUCAUCGUUCUCUACUCUCCCAUUAACAACCUCCUUAGGGGAAAUUUCGGCCUUCUUCUUUUCCUCUCCCUCCCCCCCUUCAUCCGAUUGUCUUCUUUGUCCUACAGGAUGAUGGUAGCAAUUGGAAGCAUUGCCUCACUCUUGGCUCUGUUGGUGAUAAACCUUUGAAAAAUGAAAAAAUUGUCAUAUUUUCUGAUGCACUAAACCAUGUGUCUAUAAUUGAUGGUAUUCGUCUUGCUGAGAGAACAAAAAAGUGCAAAACCUUUUAUCUAUAAACACUGUGACAUGUCCCAUCUCAAGGCACUGUUAUCAAGUUGCACGAUGAAGAAAAAAAUUGUUGUGACUGACAGCUUGUUUAAUAUGGAUGCAGACAUUGCACCAAUGGUUGAACUCGUGAAGCUUCGCAAGAAGUAAAUUAAAACAACGCCACAAAGUGCUUGGUUUGGGCAGACAAGUACUGAAUACUUAUCCCAGUUUGUAUUGAUAUGAAGCACAUUUAUCUUAUUACUCUCUCACAUACACACAAUCACACACUUGAGUAACAGCAAGAUUGAAGAAGAGCUCAAGGCGAAGAUGUCUUCAUUGGAUGAAAAGUACACCAUGGAACCCAAGGAAGUCGUUCAUGAACUACUACUUUACAGUAGACUCUCAUCAUCAACUGUUGAGAUUCCUGAAAACAACGUCUUAUUGGAACCUUCCAAAAAAGGGCGGCAUUGGAAUAAGCUUAAGAGUAGAGGGAUGCUCAAGUGGUAGUAAUGACAUUGAAGCAUUCAUAUUUUGUAAAAAAAAAAAAAAAAUAGUUGAUGACAUUUUAAAUUACUAGGACAAAGGAUUUUAU